rnacentral:rRNA from 1 species
AUGGUCUUAGCUUGCUAAGGCCGAUGGCGACCGGCGCACGGGUGAGUAACACGUAUCCAACCUGCCGUCUACUCUUGGCCAGCCUUCUGAAAGGAAGAUUAAUCCAGGAUGGGAUCAUGAGUUCACAUGUCCGCAUGAUUAAAGGUAUUUUCCGGUAGACGAUGGGGAUGCGUUCCAUUAGAUAGUAGGCGGGGUAACGGCCCACCUAGUCUUCGAUGGAUAGGGGUUCUGAGAGGUUAACCCCCACAUUGGGACUGAGAUACGGCCCAGACUCC